rnacentral:rRNA from 1 species
CGUAGGGCGCAAGCGUUGUCCGGAAUUAUUGGGCGUAAAGAGCUCGUAGGCGGUUUGUCGCGUCUGCUGUGAAAACCUAAGGCUCAACCUUGGGCUUGCAGUGGGUACGGGCAGACUAGAGUGCGGUAGGGGUGACUGGAAUUCCUGGUGUAGCGGUGGAAUGCGCAGAUAUCAGGAGGAACACCGAUGGCGAAGGCAGGUCACUGGGCCGCAACUGACGCUGAGGAGCGAAAGCAUGGGGAGCGAACAGGAUUAGAUACCCUGGUAGUCCAUGCCGUAAACGUUGGGCACUAGGUGUGGGGCUCAUUCCACGAGUUCCGUGCCGCAGCAAACGCAUUAAGUGCCCCGCCUGGGGAGUACGGCCGCAAGGCUA